UCAGCCUCCCAAAGUGCUGGGAUUACAGGCAUGAACUACAUUGCCUGGUGCUGUGAUUUUAAGUUGUACUUUAGGAUAUCUUACUCACAGUUCCAAGAACCAGUACCCAGGAGAACGUCUGGCACAUAGAUGCUUCACUUUGCUUGUACUUGUUGGCUGUUACAAGAUCAAUAACCAGCAUGAAAAUCCCCGUCUCACAACCCUUUGAAAAGUGAAGAGAUUAAUGUCUAGCGAGGAGAUGGUGGUGUGACAGAGGCCACAUAGCCACCGAGUGGGUGAGCUGGAACUCAAAUCUAGAAUAAUGAGGUCUUCAAAAAUUGUUAUUAGUGAAAUCUACAAGACUGAAGAAAGCAGAAGAGAGAUGGAGGGACAGGUGGAAUAACUUGGGGAGAAUUCUGUGCUUCCUGCAAUGAGAAGGCAUCUAACUGUCCAGGGACAAGGAGAAGGAUUUGGAGUCAAAAUCUAUUUUGAAGGAUGAGUUCAGUAUUCAUGGCAAUAAGACUUCUUUUAGGGACAUUUGGUGUUGCAUUGAUGUGUCCAUCAGAGGCUAUAAUUACUGAGAACAGACAUGAUACUCUGGAAAAUAAGCAUAGUGUCCUGAAUGGAACUAUUCACAGCUGGCAUAUGGCAAAGACACAUCCUUGUUUACUAAAGUCGGAAACACCUGAGUAUUUCAUGUCCUUCAAAAGUUUCCUUGAUGAGUGUUUCUCAUUGUUGUGUCCCGCAGGUCUGCCAUCAUGGGAUCUUUAUGCCUACCCUAAUCGUAAUAUAAACCCAUUUAUCCAUGUUCUAUUAUAAAAUAUAUAUGAAAAACAUGAAAUGUUCAUUCUUAUGAUAAUUCCACACAUUCUUCAUGAACCUUCUAAAACUACCCCACAGUUUUUGCUUUUCUUUUCUGGAGAACAAAUAAUCUCAUUUCCUUUUAUCUUUCCCCAGAGGUCCCAUUUUCCCAUGCUUUAA